AUGGAAUGUGCAUCGCGUUUAACGCAAUACAAUACAACUUUCAGCAACGGAUCUCUUGGCUCUCGCAUCGAUGAAGAACGCAGCGAAAUGCGAUAAGUAAUGUGAAUUGCAGAAUUCAGUGAAUCAUCGAAUCUUUGAACGCACCUUGCGCCCCUUGGCUAUUCCGAGGGGCAUGCCUGUUUGAGUAUCAUGAACACCUCAACUCUCAUGGUUUGCCGUGAUGAGCUUGGACUUUGGGGGUUUUGCUGGCCUGUGGCCGGCUCCUCUCAAAUGAAUCAGCUUGCCAGUGUUUGGUGGCGUCAUGGGUG
rnacentral:misc_RNA from 1 species